UAUAUUUUAGUUGAUUAGAGAUGAGUGCAUGUUCACAAUGAUAAUUUAUGAAUUGAUUGCACGCAAUUAGUUUUUUUUUAACAAAAUUUCAGCAGAAAAAUUUCUUGUCAAUAAUUGGAUAAUACUAUUAUUGAAAAUAAUACUGAAAUAGUUUAUAAUAAAUGUGUAAUAUAUGCAUUUUAUCUGAAUCAAUUGUUAAGUAAAUAUGAAAUAUGUUAACAACCUAACAAUCGACUAACACAUGUUCUCAUCCUUACAUUUGAGCAUAAUGGCAAUCGAAGCUCUUGCACAUGGGUCAACUCCUGUUGCGGCAAUUAUUAGUUUAUAAGAGAAGGGGCGACGAAGAGAGAAGAAUCGCGCCAAGUGUGUGUUCGGCAACACGCUUUGUGUUUUUAUUCGUAACAGCUCGCUGCUAUGUAAGUUUUGCAUUUGCGUACAUUUUAAAAUUAUUGUAUACAAUAUAUUUUAAAAUUUGCAUUUAUAAUUUUAUUUUGUAUGUAAUUUACAAAUGCAUAUAGUAAUAUGCAUAAUAUAAUAAAAAUAUGUUAGAAAAUAGAAAAUAACGAUAAAAAUUAGUUAAUGAAACAUAUUUCUUGUUUGGAAACGAUGCGUACAAGUUGAAAAAAGAAUAUGAAAGAGAAUGAAAGAAAAACACGAACAGAGUUGUCGAACACUAAUUGAUCGAGUGAACGCAAUGGGCGACAGCAAAAGAGAAUCUCCCACAAAAUAUUCUCCACAAUUAAAGACAUUGUAAAACACAUUUUUUAAUACAUUAUAUUUUAUUGUAUUUCAACUUUAUGUUAUAAUAAAUGUGUAGAACGUAUAAAUUUCAUGUAUAUCCGAUUACUUGGAAUUAAUUCAAUUAAUUUUUAAUUCCAAUUAAUUAUAAUUUCCAAUUAAUUAUAAUUGAAUGAAAUGCGUGUAUUAAAAAAUAAAAACAUAUUUGAUUCUACCACAAACUAAAAUUAUAGUUAAUUGCGAGCUUUUGCAUUUCGUCUAAUACUAUGUUCGGACCGACAUUGAAAAUGUGUUUUCAUAGCACAAAUAUGUCUCUAUCAAUU